GAUGAACGCUGGCGGCGUGCCUAAUACAUGCAAGUCGAGCGAACGGACGAGAAGCUUGCUUCUCUGAUGUUAGCGGCGGACGGGUGAGUAACACGUGGAUAACCUACCUAUAAGACUGGGAUAACUUCGGGAAACCGGAGCUAAUACCGGAUAAUAUUUUGAACCGCAUGGUUCAAAAGUGAAAAACGGUCUUGCUGUCACUUAUAGAUGGAUCCGCGCUGCAUUAGCUAGUUGGUAAGGUAACGGCUUACCAAGGCAACGAUGCAUAGCCGACCUGAGAGGGUGAUCGGCCACACUGGGACUGAGACACGGUCCAGACUCCUACGGGAGGCAGCAGUAGGGAAUCUUCCGCAAUGGGCGAAAGCCUGACGGAGCAACGCCGCGUGAGUGAUGAAGGUCUUCGGAUCGUAAAACUCUGUUAUUAGGGAAGAACAUAUGUGUAAGUAACUGUGCACAUCUUGACGGUACCUAAUCAGAAAGCCACGGCUAACUACGUG
rnacentral:rRNA from 1 species